rnacentral:tRNA from 1 species
GGGGUAAUAGCUCAGUUGGCAGAGCAGGUCUUUUGCAAGGACAAGGUCGAAGGUUCGAAUCCUUUUUAUUCCA